AGGAUGAACGCUGGCGGUCUGCUUAACACAUGCAAGUCGAACGGAGUAGAAAUACUUAGUGGCGGACGGGUGAGUAACGCGUGAGAAUCUACCUUCAGGACGGAGACAACAGUUGGAAACGACUGCUAACCCCCGAUGUACUGAAAAGGCAAAUAUUUAUAGCCUGAAGAAGAGCUCGCGUCCGAUUAGCUAGUUGGAGAGGUAAAAGCUCACCAAGGCGACGAUCGGUAGCUGGUCUGAGAGGAUGAUCAGCCAGACUGGGACUGAGAACGGCCCAGACUCCUACGGGAGGCAGCAGUCGGGAAUUUUGCCCAAUGGACGAAAGUCUGAGGCAGCAACUCCGCGUGAGGGAUGAAGGCUCUCGGGUCGUAAACCUCUUUUCUCAGGGAAGAUCCAAGACGGUACCUGAGGAAUAAGCGACGGCUAACUACGUGCCAGCAGCCGC
rnacentral:rRNA from 1 species